rnacentral:sRNA from 1 species
GCCUGGUGCGGUGGUGCACACCUGUGAUCCUAGCGGCUCGGGAGGCUGAGGCAGGAGGAUCGGGAGUUCAAAGCCAGCAACAGCGAGGCGCUAAGCAACUCAGUGAGACCCUGUCUCUA